UUUUUUAUCCAUUAACACAGUGUGUUUCACAUUUUAAGUGUCUAAGUGAGCAAAAAGGCUUAUAUUAUUCACUGGAGUUGCUAUUUAGAUAUUUAAUAAUUAAGUUUUGGGCAUAUUUGUCCACCCGUUCAGUUUUUACAUAAUCUAUUACAUCAGUAAUUAAUUUAGUGAGGAUAACUACCAAAUAUGGUAAUGGCCCUCGGCUAAACACAGAGCCAAUCCGCCAUUUUUUCUUCUCGCUAAGAUUUUUUGUAGUCCUAUUGGAAAAAUGCAGAAUGUCUGGUUAUUUUAGCCACACACAGCUCAAAACUGUUCCUCGUUUUAAGGAAGGGUGGUGUGGCAGUAUUUAAACCCAGGAGCUGAUGACACUACUGCUAAAAAAACACAGAAGAAAAAGUAGUGUGUUUGUGUUUGUGUUUGUGUGUGUGUGUGUGUGUGUGUGUGUGUGUGUGUGUGUGUGUGUGUGUGUGUGUGUGUGUGUGUGUGUGUGUGUGUGUGUGUGUGUGUGUGUGCGCGCGCGUGGUUCGUUCUUUCGUGUCUUCAGGCUAGUAAGUACUGAGGGCUUCAUCUAUCUAAAAGGAGUCAUUUUUAUCUGAAUGUGGCAGCACCGGGACACAGCAGCAGAGCGAAUAUGACGAUGACAUCAUGGAACUGGUCUUUGGAAAAGUUUUCCCUGAACCAACUCCGUUUCUAGAUGAGGUAGAGAAGAUCUGCAUCUCACCAACUCUCUGGUCUCAGUAUUCAGACAACGGAGGUCUCCCACUGUUAUCCAGGACCAGUUUGAAGCCCACAUACUGCCCCUCCCUCAUCAUCAGGAAACAUCAAUCCAUAUCCUGAGGACAACAGAAGACGGCAGGAGGACAGGAACUCUGAGACCUAGACACCACCAGCACCGAGACACAAAGCACCUGUGUGCACAACGCCUGUUUUAACUACUAAAGCCUGUUUAUUAUAUUGUUCUACUUAUUUGCUGUGAGGUUAAUACUUAGAAAAUUUGUAUAUUAAUGUAAACAAUUUAAAAAAAAUCACUGAUUGUAUGUUUUCUUUUAGAUGUAAUGGUCCAAACUCAGCCUUGUAGACAUUUAUUGCAUCCUGUAGGUAAAUACACAGAACAGGCUCAGGUCCAGGAUGACCCAGCGUGCUCUUCUUCCAUUCUGGCUGUUAGGGAUUUUAUCAAUAACUCAAUGCCUACUGAUGUUUUCACCUAACGGUAUUUAUUUAGAAUGCAGGUAAGAUUUACCUAUAUUUGUUAGCAAAGCAGACUGAUCUUGGGAAUUUCACUGCAGCACUGAUUUCCACCUCUCUGUACACAUUAGAGAGAAUUACCACUUUACAGCUAAACACAUUUAAUAAAGAUAUAGGCUACGCAUUGCAGACAAUAAAAACAAAGUUGUAAGCAUUAGAAUUAUAAUGAUCACAUUAAAGAACAUUUGGAGGAA